rnacentral:rRNA from 1 species
AUGAUGCAUAGCCGAGUUGAGAGACUGAUCGGCCACAAUGGGACUGAGACACGGCCCAUACUCCUACGGGAGGCAGCAGUAGGGAAUCUUCCACAAUGGGCGAAAGCCUGAUGGAGCAACGCCGCGUGUGUGAUGAAGGNNUUCGGCUCGUAAAACACUGUUGUAAGAGAAGAAUGACAUUGAGAGUAACUGUUCAAUGUGUGACGGUAUCUUACCAGAAAGGA